AUUUAAGUAGUUUAAUUAAAAUAUUAAUUUGUGGAAUUAAAGAUGUAUAUUUUACCUUAAAUU
rnacentral:tRNA from 1 species